GGUGUUGUGCCAAAAGGUGAUCAGCUGCCUGAAAGUGAUUUCAGCCGCGGGAGCGCGCACAGCCUGUUAAAGCUAGGCUAUAUCGCCUCGAAACGUGCAUGCGGCAGCAAAGUAUGAUCAGUCAUACUAGUCAAUAGCACUACAGGACUAUUGUCCGCUGUAUUAACACAGAUAUGUAUUUUAAGGUGAGAAGACAUCGACGUUGUACCGACGUCUGAUCAGUCAUACUAGUCAAUAGCACUACAGGACUAUUGUCCGUGAGUCAAUUAUCCCUCUUUAGCCUAUAUCCUUCAAGCUCAUUCUUCGCCAGAGUGAAUUCAAUUCUCUAGCACCACGCAAGUGGCUGCUGGCCGAGGUAAACUUUUUUUUUUAACGCAGCAACCAUCACAUUUGUAUUCAUUUAGAUUUUGUACAGUCUGAGAUAUUAUUACCAAUGUAAUCAAUUUUUUCAGACAAAUGAGUGCUACCUCAGAGCCAUACUGAAUGUGAAAGAAAGGGAAAAGAAUAUAUAGGCUAUCCACAACCAUUAUUCUGCCGGAGUCAUAGUUUUUGGAGCACGGUCUGCCAUGGCCAAUCACUCAUUACGCAAGCUUAACUUUGACAACUACGAUGGAGUCAUGGGAUUCAUGAAUGUUGCAAACAACCACUGGAAAUUCCUGGUAACAACCUUAAUGAACAUAAUACAAAAUAUAUCCUCAAUAAUAAUUCUCUGCCAAUAGUGAAAUUCUAAUGAAAUGUAAUUUCUCCUUGUAGUAUCUCUACAAGUUGAACCAAAACGUGUUUGUCAUGGAUCCCUUGGGUCAAGAUGAGGACAAAGAGUCAGGCGUUGCUGCGGAACGGUUUCGCCAGUUCUUCAGGAGGCGGCAGAACCUCUAACAGAAGACUGAUUGGGUGGAUGUAAAGUGGCAGCAAGCCACAAUCAAGCACAGCAU